GACGAACGCUGGCGGCGUGCUUAACACAUGCAAGUCGAACGGAAAGGCCCUGCUUUUGUGGGGUGCUCGAGUGGCGAACGGGUGAGUAACACGUGAGUAACCUGCCCUUGACUUUGGGAUAACUUCAGGAAACUGGGGCUAAUACCGGAUAGGAGCUCCUGCUGCAUGGUGGGGGUUGGAAAGUUUCGGCGGUUGGGGAUGGACUCGCGGCUUAUCAGCUUGGUGGUGGGGUAGUGGCUUACCAAGGCUUUGACGGGUAGCCGGCCUGAGAGGGUGACCGGCCACAGUGGGACAGAGAGACGGCACGGGAUCCCGCGGGGGGCAGCAGGGGGGAAGGCGGCACCAGGGGGGGGAGGCUGAUGCAGCCACCCCGGGGGGGGGAGGAAGGGCUUCGGGUUGGAAAACGAUUUCCAUCAGGACGAAGCUGGGUGUGACGGUAGUGGGUAAAGAAGCACCGGCUAACUACGUG
rnacentral:rRNA from 1 species